ACAACAGGAGGUGAGAAGGGGCUCGAGUGGGGGGGGGGGGGCACCUUGGGCUCGGGCCGCCGAGUGCGACGACUGCGGUGUGCUCGUCAGUGCUUCUGACACGGGUGUCUUCAACGGAAGCCGCACAGAACGGUUCUCCAAAUGGCAGGAUGAGGUUGCAGCCGUCGCUGGCACUGUCGAGCUCCACAAGUGCUACGGCUUCGACGUCUCCCGUAUGAAGAGCAUGGAGCGCAUCAAUUGGUCAGAUGAAGGUUAUGAGUUAUGUUUGUGGAUUAAUUUGAUCGUUUAGUGUAGAUAUAUAUUGACUGUAGCAUAAUUGCUGAAAAUGUGUUGAUUGAUUCAUCAAUCACAGCCUAAACACACACCAAGAUUUUGUGUUUUGUGACAAGCUAUUUGCAUUUGCCUAGAAAAAAAUGGUGCAAUGAUCAUACGAGACAAGUUGAAACCCUGAUAAGAGAGUAACUGUUGACACCUGAUUUUGGCAAGAUACAGAUUGCAAUGAAGAUGGUCUCGAGUGAACGGGUUUUCAGCAUGAAAAUAUUCACAUCGCCGAGUGGAACCACUUUGAUGUUUUGGUUAUAUUCAUUCGACUUUAUCUUACGGACCGAAACUAUACUCCGAGUGGCAUAAUUCAAUGUUCCGAGUGGUUUUUGGCCAAUCACGUCUUCAAGAUGACCUCGGAUGAAGGAGCACUCUUAAGGAAUUGUCUACGUCUCGUCGAGGCAAUCGAUUUUGAUAUAUAAAUCAUCUCAACCGAGUUCAUAUGCAAAAGUUAGAGGCAAUACACUGCAGACCGAACCUCAACGGAAAUAUGGCGCGAGGUGCCAGACACUUGUCUGAUAGGUUGCGCGAGUAAUUCGGUCAUCAAGACGGCCUUGAAUCGAAAAACCUUCAACACGAAAUUUUUUUGUCUCGUCGAGCCGAUCGUUUUUCAUAUAAAAUUUGACUCAAUCCAAGGUCGUAUGCAACCUGGAGAGGAAAAUCAAGAUCAGGCUGUGUUUUCAGUCAGAAAAUCCGAGUGAAAAGUUUACCAUCCGAGUGAAAAC
rnacentral:rRNA from 1 species